rnacentral:rRNA from 1 species
UACGUAGGGCGCAAGCGUUGUCCGGAAUUAUUGGGCGUAAAGAGCUCGUAGGCGGCCAGUUGCGUCCGCUGUGAAAUCCCGGGGCUUAACCCCGGGCGUGCAGUGGAUACGGGCUGGCUAGAGGCAGGCAGGGGAGAACGGGAAUUCCCGGUGUAGCGGUGAAAUGCGCAGAUAUCGGGAGGAACACCGGUGGCGAAGGCGGUUCUCUGGGCCUGUACUGACGCUGAGGAGCGAAAGCGUGGGGAGCAAACAGG